GGGAGAGGGUAAGGAGGAGGAGGAGGGAGAAAAGGAAGAGUAAGGAGGGAGUCUGAAAUGAUUUGAACACAAACAAAAGAUCCCGAGCAGACCAAACCUCUCUCUGCUUUUGGAAGAAAACUUUUAGAGUAAGUGAUGACGACUUUAUACUGCAACUUUACAGACACAGUAAAGUGGAAGAGAAAGUUGUUUCACCUACAGAGAAAGUUCAGAGUUUUUAAGAAGUGAGUUUGUAUGACAUAUUUAUCUAUACAGAGUCCAUUGUUAACAAAAAACAUCUUUCAGCUUGACUUCUGUUUGGAGAAGCUUUUGUCAGAGUACUGCCUCACAAGGUAGGCUGCUAAUGGAAGAUGAAGUGGUUUGGAGCAAAACACAUUCAGACUAGAGCUGUUUGGUCCACUUUAAUCAAACCUUGGUCUGUUUCCUCCGAUAGUCUGGCUUGUUCGGAGUGGUGUGAAACCUCAUUUGAACUCUGGUGUGGACCAAACAUGAACUCUUCCAGGCCAACCUUGGUGUGUGACGCAGAGUUCUCUCUCAAAAAUUCAAAAAAAAGUGGAAAAGACAGGCGCAGUCGAAAAUACGGUGAGGGUGAAAUUUACUUAUAGUCGGCUCCCAAGGUACAGUGCAGAAAAAGUUACAAAAAGGUGCAAAAAUUGUCAAAAUACUAUUAACAAAAAAUGUACAAGGCAGAAAAACAUCCAUUCAUUUAUUCAUCUCACCAUCACUACACAGCAGUAGUGAUGUGUCCUUCAGUGCCGAGGCUUUAAAGAGUGUGUCGAGUAAUGCAGGGGGCGUUUCUGCGAGGCGCGUAUCGAGGCUUGCUUCACAAUGCUUCAUCGCCUCACUACCCGGCUGUACCACGUGACUGAUACAAGAAAUGCUUCGCGGGUUUGGCGGAUGAUUUAACAGACAGCGAAACGCAAUGGAGUCCUCCUCCACUCACAAUCCAUAGGUUCGAGACUUGUUGAAAAGUUGUUUUUAAAUAAAUAUUAAAUGAAAUGUUUAUGUUUUAUAUGUUGUCCCCGUAACAAAAGUACAAACAACAAACUAAGUAACACAAGCACAUUCGCAUCACAACCCUCUCCAUAAUUGAUGUCCUCUUCUCUUUUUUGACACUGCAACUGUGUCUUAAAGACAGAUAUCACAUUAAUACUGUAACUUCAUCAUUUCUGUAUUGGUAUCACAAACACAUGGCAUCACAUCCAUUCAUUUAUUCAUUCAUCUCACCAUCACUACACAGCAGCAAUACAGAGGAAAUCAGUUCAGCAGUUACCUUCCUUGCAACCAAGUCCACACUCCUCGAGAAGACCGGGCGGCCUUCUUUUAAACCCCCCUAGCACCUCCCCUGGGCACACCCAUAAACAAAUUAUAGGGGUUUAAGACAUCAUAUGCAAAAUACGACACAAACUCCUCAAUAAAUCAGACAUUUCACCUUAGACAAAAAGGCACUAAUAGCCCUCCAUACAGAUGUGACUUAAUCAUUGAAAACACAUUCAAUCAGACAGAAUAUCACAAAUGAACUAUAAUGGUAUGGUCCAGUGGUCACACGACCCCCCAAAGCGCGCCACCUUGCGCUACUUACUGUGGGACCAGGAAGUGCUCUGGUUUGGCUUGGAAGAAAGCAGCAGGUAAGUGUGUGUGUGCGUGUGUGUGUAAUUGUCGAGUGUGCACCCUUUACCUUAUAGUGAGGAGAAAAGAGUCCAGAUAAAAAGGGAAAUAGUUGGUUGGAGUUCAGGGGACACAGGUGCGGGGAAACAGUGUAACAGUUUGAAGAAGCGUGGCUCCUCAGGGAACGAGUGCGCUCCGUGCGCGCUCCCGGCACCGGCACUCAGGCCACGAGAGAGAGACCCGCGCCAGUCGGGGAAUGACGGGGCGUUUAACGGCGCUGCGUCACAGUGUGAUUUAAUUGAGAUGUUAGAGCAAAGCAAAUCAACUCAAAAACCAAAGGCAGGAAGUGGCUUAAACCACAGUACAUCUGUGGUAAAGACGUGCGUCAUGUCAGUACCUCUGAACUUUUUCUGGAGCAUUAAGAGAAGAUCUACUGUGAGGCAGUACUAUUGUAAUGCAUGUUAAAUGUGGUUUGGCAUUUUCUCGCUGAAAUAUGAAGGUCUUCCCUGAAGAAGUCAUUGUCUGGAUGGCAGCUCCAAAACCUGUAUGUAUACAGCAUUAACUGUACAAUCUUAGAUGUGUGAGCUACCAAUGACACAGUCAUUUAUGCAUCCUCAUACCGUCAAGGAUACUGUUUAGUAUUAACAAGCUGAGCAGUCAUUGUCAUCAUUAGAGAGGAUGAUGUGGCGUCCAUGACUUCCAAAAAUAGAGUCAAGUUUUGAUUAAUCAGAGCACAGGAUUGUUUUUCACUUGAGCUAACAGUUUCCACUUCGCAUUGUACAGUUUUGAUCUGUAUUUGUGGCUGCAUCCUCUAACUGUGCUCACAGAAAAUUGAUUUGUUGGUGAUUUUAUGCCUAUAUGGUGGUUUCCACUACAGAGUCAUGUCUGGUUUGUUUUAUUUGUUCCUCAGAUAUUUCAUUGAUGUCAUGUACCGUUGAUGAUCAAAUCAACAAUAUGUGGAAAUCUCAUGCUAAGGAACAUUUUUUUGGAACUGUUGAACUAUAUAGUGGAACUAUAUACUCAGACGGUUUCUCACAUAGUGUUGAGACUGCUGUUUUUAUACACAGUAAUGGUUUGUAAAUCAACCUUAUCAACACAGAGAUGCUCCUUUUGAACUUUUUCAGUGUUUUGUCAUCCCUGUUCCAACUAAUUUUGAACUUUUUGUCAGCAACAGCUAUAAAAAAGCAUACCUGCAGUCUGUUUUUCUAAGUUUUUACCUUUCAUACAUUAUAUUUUCACCAUUUUCAAUAACAUGUAGGGUUCCGGUGAUUUACAGAAUAUCAAAUUCAAUUUCUUUUUAGAUGUUUUAAACAGCAUCUCAACUUUUUGGAAUCAGGGUUGCAUCACAAAUGGAUGCGACUUGCAUUUUUAAGUGCCCAGGUAUAACGUAAGAUAUGAAUAUGAGGAAAAUAGAUAAAUAAAAAUUGAUCGAGUGAUGGCACACCUAAAACGAGUUAGAUUUUUCUCGGUGGUCAUAAAUAAGUUGUAACUGCUUAUCUUCUGUGUCAGUACUGCGGCUGCGUCUCCAAAGCCCAGCUUGCACUACUAGAGUUAUUGAAGUGCAUCAUAUCUUCCCAAACUAUCUCUUUGAAUCACAAUGUGGUUGUCCUGAAAGUCAACCCUGGAAGCAUGCUGCUUUUAUUUGAGCAGCAGGAUGGCCUUUGGCUUUGAGACGAUCAAUUCCAUCCCCUCUUACAAAAAGCAAGACUUUCUGCCUCUCUCUUUGUGAUGGCCAAGCCCAGACCAGAGGGCGAGGGGAAUAUACCCUUAAUAAAACUGUAAUACUGUACUUUUUGCGUUCACAAAAAGUGUUUCUUAGCAGCCCUGCCUUUUAUGCGAUUCAGAAAUCUGCAUUAAUUUUCCAUGUCCAUGCAAAGAUGAUUAAUAAAAGAAGUCUUAACUGAAAUCCUUUGGGGUGUAAACAGUGUAACGGAGAGAGAUGCCGUGCAGAAAAAUGCAGUUUACAAGAAAAAAGGAGAACAUCAAGUACGCCAAGAGAUGAGCGCAGGAAGGAAAACUGUUUGUGAAAGACAAAAUGUCAGAUUAGAUUAUGAAAAGCAUACAGAAAAAAAACAAGGUGAAGGUUUGGAGGCAGGAGGUUAAAAGUGUACACUUUAAGGAGGAUGAUCAGUUGAAUGAAUCCCCAAAGAAAAAAGGGAGACUUAGACAACGAGGGGAGUUCCUGUGGGCAAUAAAAGAGAACUAAAGGGCAUAAGAGAAAAGAGAGAAAGGGAGGAGAGGAGAUGUUUGGAGGAGGAGAGCUGCAGCGACUGCCAAUGCAGCAGGAAGAGAGUGUGCGAGGGCACAAUAACCCAAAGCGAACCGCAGAUCUUUGAUAACUCCUCAGAACGCCAACUUAGUGGUGAAAUUGAAGUGAGCUGGCCUGUGUUUGAAGCAACACAUGCUGUGCCUGGAAUGCCUAAGGAAACGUCUGGGCCGAUAAUUAAUGAUACUUCAGUGGAAAGGAGACAGGGCGAGGGGACUUGAAUCAAACCUCAUGCUGCUGCUGUACUUUUAAGUGUUCACAGGCAGCAUGCUCUAAAUAAUGAAGGGCAGAUCAGUGUCUCUGCGGGUCCAGAAUUCAAACAGCACAAAGUUUAACCAACCUUCUCUAUUAAAAUCCCUUUACUUUCACAGCCUGUGUGCACAGAACUGCACAGUGGUGUUACAGAUCUAGAUGAUCUGCAGGAAUCAACCCUCAGCUCAGUACACAUUAACCUCUGAUGGGCUGAAAACAUCCAAACAGUGUGAAAAGGGAUUUUAAUGUUGAUAAACCUGGAGUUGCAGUACAUUGUUGUUUAGAAUGGGUUUAUGUGCUUUUGAGAAUAGGAGUCGGAGAAAAAAUCGAUACAGCAUAGUUUUGCGAUAUUUUGUCUGGUGAUAUAUCGUAUCAUCUCAUUUACCAAGUAUUGAUUUUUUCAAAUUAAUUGCUAAUAUGAAGUCAAAUCUAUGAUAAUGAAAAAAAUAAAAUCAACUGUUUGUCCAGUGAGGUUGGCAGAGGUGACAUCAUAGAGCAGGAGAAAGUUGUAAGAUGUGCUACAGGAAAAUAAAAUACAGCAUAAAUUAGACAAAUAUAAAGGAAAGCCAAAUGCUAAAUUAGCAAAACAGUUGAAAAUUUUUAUGAAUCGCAAUAUAUUUUAUGGCAAUACUCACUGUAUUGUAAAAUGUUAAAAAUUGCAAUAAUAUUGUAUCGUGGCCCAAGUAUUGUGAUUAUAUGGUAUUGUGGGGCCACUAGUGAUGGCCCCUACUUGAGAAUAAGAGUGGCUAACAUUUAAGCUAGGCUAACACUAAUGUUAAAGACAUGUACAGAAACAACAGCUCUGAUUCUUCAGUCGUCCUCCUCAUCACUAGCCUUGCCUCCACAGGGAUGGGUCCACACUUGGUUUAGAGCUGAUUUGGACCAAAAGACAAUGUAGAUUGGUAAAUUGAGAGUUUUUGCAUUACUGCUAAUGCCGUACCAAUCUGACUGUCAAUCAAUUUGGACCCCUGAGGUCCAUACCUUUGUUUGGGGCAAGACAGGAUAGUCAACCUUUUUCCAUCAGAAAACUUUGGCUUCAUGGCUUAUUCUAGGGCUGGGUGAUAUGGCCUCAAAUCAAUAUCAUGAUAUAUUGAGCAGUUCACCUUGAUAACGAUAAAUUGAUGAUAACUACUCCACAAGCAGCUCACCCCCUCCCACAAAUACUUCGUCUACUUCAGCUACCGCUCUAGCCACUACAACUUUUGAACUGUCCACCAUCUCCUCUCCUCUCUUUCCCUCUUUGUUACAGACUGGAUGGGGUGGAGUCACGUCUCCGACGUAGGACAGUGUCUUAAAGGGACAUGAGACCAUAGCCUACCUACACACAUCUAAAACCAACUUUUAUUUAUUUAUUCAUUUUUUUGUCACCGAAUAUAUUGACAUGGGGAAAACAGCGUUGGUUAUUGUCGUAAAUUUCAGUAUUGAUAAAUUUUCAGUUUAUUGCCCAGCCCUAGCCUAUGCUUUGCAAUAUCAGCUCUAAAAGUAGAAUAGUCCAAUGUACAGUUACGAUGUAAAAUCCACUGAUUUUGUGAGACCGUCAGCUUUCUGGUCAAACACAAACAAACAAGUAAACGCAUAAAAGGUGUAAUACUUUGAGUUUGUAAGCAAACAUCCUUUACUCAGGUAGUAGUCCAGGGUGAUUUGGGGAUUUUGGUCGUCCUUGUUGCUAUCAGCUCUAUGUCCAUGCGUUGAUCUCUCCAGAAGCACAUUUCGUCUGUGUGUUUCAGUGAAAGCAAACUUUGAUGAGAAUCAAACUCUUUCUCUCGCUGUCAGAACUGCAGGAGCAAGUGCAGGUUUGUUUUUCCUAACUGUUCACACCACAGUCAUCUGUCUCUUCAGUGACUCCUGACCAAGCGUUGAUGGCGUGAAGAAGUUGUCACACAUGAUGGUUCACCCCUGGAGGCCUUCUGUCAUCUUAAGUACCACAUGCUUGGCCUGAUUUCUCUCUGGCUGUCCAUCAACAGGUUUGUCAGAGUAAAGUCGCAGGCGAGGCUGGUCCCGGCAUUACGUGUCACUUAGAUUUUUAGAGCCAUCCUUGCAUAGUUUGCUUGGCGUGUUCUGUUUGAAGGCACAGUGACUCCUGAGGGAACCAGACCCUCAUUUACAGUCAAUCUGCUCCAGAGUUGUAGAUCAGCUGCAGGCUUAUAUGCCCACUUGUCCUAUACAGAGCUGAAAUAGGACAGUAAAUUUGUGGUGUAUCGUUAUUCUCUUUUACUUUUAUAAGCAAAACUAAUGUGUUACCAAAAAUGAAAACCUCAGGGUGCUUCGCUCAUUCUCCAUAUUGGUCAUUUUGUCCAGAUAGUGUGUGGCCAACAGUGUGUCCUCCUUUAGUGAGUUGAGAGAGUAUUGACUCUACAGUAUGAGAACCUACAUACUGUGUCUGCAUGCAGUGUCUGUCCCUGGAAGGAACCAAAGAAAGAACCAAAGGAUUGUGGUUUUUCUGAAACUUUCACCACUUUCUUGGCAACUAUAACAGGAUUAAAAUGACUUUGUUUAUCGAAAACCUGAAAUGACUGGUGCAUUGAGGCAUUAAAUGAAAUAUGAAUGGAUCCACUUGUCAGAAAUAUCACCAGAUAAUUGUCAUUGGAGAUUUCCUCAACCCUAACCUGCAUUUAUUACGUCCUUCAGCUCAUUUGUUUUUGUUCCACAACCUGUAAUCUUACUCUUCAGUCCCUGCACUAUAAUCAAAAGUAAAGCAGGCAGUUUCAAGUGCACGUCAGUGAUUAAGAGUGGAUCCUAAAAUAACAGGCAGAUGCACACUAUUUAAACUGCAACCUGUCGUAUCUUCACUUCUCUACAUAGUAAACAAACUUGCCUUAAGGUGAAUCAGAGAGAAACUAUGAGGGUCUCUGAUGGCAGGCUGUCUCCUGAAGGCAAAAUCCUCCAGCAAGGCUAGAGAUACCUCAGUGCUAAUCUAAUACACAGAGAAAAAGACAUCUAUGUGUGAUACAAUAUAAUGAGUGAACUGAAACAGCUUCAACCUUGAACUCUGUUAUACGCUUAGACUGAAGAUGGGCAUCUCUUGUAUGCUAUAAUAAACACAUUUGGCAACUACCAAUGGGGUAUGAUAACAUUUGAACCCCGAUCACGAGUUGCCAUAUUGGAAAUGCUGACUCAGCCUAACUUGCUAGCCUGCUUGUCAGUCAACUUUAGCAAGUUCUCUUUGCUUCGCCAAUCUUGUUUUUUUUUUUUUUUGGUAAACCAGGCUGCAAACAUAUAUUUCAGUGGCUUAAUGCGCACCUGGUGUUAACUGUUUCUGCAGACAGCCUCAAGUGGACACUUGAUGAACUGCAGUUUUUCGCACUCCCACAUUGGCAUCAUUUCUCUAAACUAGAAGUUGUCGCUUGGAUUCAACACGGUCUGAUUCAAAAAGUGCGGAUCAUUGUGGUCUGAUGAUGUUAUAGGAAUAUGCAAGGCACUCAAUUUAGUUUUUUUCUUAAUUAACCAGAUAAACUAACAACCUUUCUUUUUUUUUUCUUUAAGUGAUGCGAAACAGGACAUAACAGGUUGGGGGUAACAUUAACACGCAACAUUGGAAAAUUAGAAUACCAUCUAAUAAAAGUAAAAAGAAUAAUGCAACAGAGCAAAGGGACAAAGCUAAAACAAAAUAAAUGAAAUUGAGAAAGAAAAAAUAAAAUAUAUUCAUAAAUAUACACAUAGAUAUAACUCUUUUUUUGUCUCCUAAAUUUCCAUCCUUUCAUUUAUUUAUUUUUUUCUUUCCUUUUUUAAUUUUUUUUUUCUUUCCCCUUUUUCUCCUUCCCCUCACAAAACUCACAACCUUUCACGAGCUGACCUUUUUUUUGUUCACAACUCAUGUAUGAGUGUAAUCUGUCUGUUUCAAUUUAACAGCACUUUAACACCGGGCUUGCAGAAUAAAAAACAUUUUAACACAAUAUUCAAAUCUCUGAAUGUGCUUCACACUCUUUCAGCAGCAGGUAGGUUCAGCAGUAACAGCAUACAAAAAUGUCUGUAUUAUUAGCAGAAUUAAAAAAAGAGCUCUUCUUGCUUCUUGCAAUUGUAAAAUUCAAACCAGUAGUAGCAGUUAAAAGUUAGUCAUCUUUACAAAUGAAUUUAAAGGAAUAUUCUGGCAUAAAAUCAAGUUAGGAUCAAACACACCGUAACACCGAGUUGCCCCACCGAGUGGCUUUUAGGUUGGCGUAUGGCUCUCUGUAUUGCUAUCGUGCGGUCUUUACUAAAGUUGGUAUAACUAGAGAAGCAAGCGGUCGGCAACAUUCAUCUUUUGACGGGGUGUCUAACUUGGUGUUAUGGUGUGUUUAAUUUUACGCCGGAAUAUCCCUUUAAGAAGAAGUCUCUAGCCAGCAGGAACUUUUAAAACUUUUCUCACCAGCACCUGCAAAUAAAUCCGUGCGGUACACUGUCUGACACUUUAAUGGUCACACCGUGUCACUGCUUCAUGAGAGUCUUAAGGUUAGUCCUACUGCCUGUGUGAACUCCCACCCUGACCCUUUAAUAUUCAAGUAUUUGAAUCAUGAUUUAAUAAACCAUUCAUCAGCACCACCUUACUUUCUACAUUAGAAACAUCCUUGUUUACAGUUUAUUGUGGCUGGCAAAGGGAAUAUUGUUAAUCGCAGAAUAUGUCUGCUCUAUAUAAUUCAUUUUCUAUGGUUCAUUAUAAAUCACACUUAAUUAUUCAUGUUAAUGCUUUUUGGUUUUUUUUUGCCUUGGUUCUUACUCCCCCACACUCACACAACUGAACCUCUGCCUUGUUGCACACACCUGUCUGCAUGUCUUUAGACUGUGGGUGGAAAGAGAAACCCAAAUAUGCAGGAAGAAGAAGCAAACCCCACAUGGAAAGGCCAAAUCCUUCUUGAUACAAGUCAACAGCUCUAACCAUUGAACCUCUGUAUGGCCCAUUACAUCAGUAUUUGUAGGCGAAUUAAGAAAAGAUAAAGUCCUGAUGAUGAGGGGUGUGUGGAUUUUGGUACCUAAAGAUAAAUACAGAAAACAAAGAGUAAAAGAAGGUUGUAUGUGUCACUGAGUGGGUAGUAUUUUAAAAAGUUAGACAGUAAAACUCCAUCAAAAGCUCCUCUCCUCUUGCAUUUGCUGUUACAGCUGUGAGUCACUCACCUCUCCACAGUCGUAUCAGAUAUGAGUGUUCUCAUUUUUAGAACAAGAGUUAUCUGCAGGACGGACUGAAGGGUACACUCUCGAACUUUCUCUCUCUCUCUUUAAACACCGUCUUGUCAGCCCUCCUUCACACUAAUCUGCGAUGGUUGUGUUUGAGCAGAGAGGCGGUUAUUCCUCCUGAACACACACACUCAGACUGACGGGGGCAUUUGUUAGACUGACAACAGCAUUAGGCCGCCAGUGUCCUUGUAGGUUUUACACUGACGCCGGUUAGAUGUGUGUGUGUGUGUAUGUGUGUGUUAGCUUAGAGACGUGACUCCAGCGCACACACACAAACUCUCAGGAGCAGGCUGCUGUGCGCUUUACAGAGCCUCCCUGCAGGGCCUGUCACCAGAGGAGCGACAAGCGACCUGCCGGAUGCUAAUGCAGCAUUUGGCGGUGGAAAGGUAAUGAUGUAAAUCUCAGCGGGUCACAGCAUUGACGCACACUUCAAGCUUUGUUGUCCAGCAGCACCUAGCCCCUCCCUCUCCUCCUGCUGUGCUUUGACUUCUCUGCUUCACGGGGCUGGUUUUAGGGGUUUCUUGGGUAACACUUUUCAUUGUGUGCAUGUCUUUUUAUGUAUGAGUAAUUAUUUCUCUCCUUAAGCAUUGCAGUACUCGUAGCCACAUUGCUCUCUCCAUACAUAAUUGAAUGCUAUAGACCAAGGUGUGUGCAGCAAAUGCAUAAAUAGUUGAUAUGCAUAUUUAAGGUUGAGCAGCCUACACUUUGCUCGCAGCGAU